rnacentral:SRP_RNA from 1 species
GGCUGUCAUGGCCUAACGGAAGAAGCGCUUCACAUUGACGACCUUUGAUCUUAACAUCUACGUCGCUAAGGUGUCCCGUUCGAAUCCUGUGGUGGUUAACUUCUCUGGCUUGCGUAAGCGGCAUGUGAGAGUUACCUUAAGAAAUGAAUGAUCCUUCAGUUCGGCAACGAAGCAGAGACAUUCAAACCACGGGAUGGCGGUAUGGGAUUGCACCGAGGUGUCUGUGAGAACUGGGGAUCGUUAGAAUGCGUGACUUCUUUU